AGCAGCCGCGGUAAUUCCAGCUCCAAUAGCGUAUAUUAAAGUUGUUGCAGUUAAAAAGCUCGUAGUUGAAUUUCGGGAUCAAUACGUCGGUCGUGCUUCGGUACGUACUGGCGUCAUUGGUUUCUCCCUUCUGACGAACCAUGAUGUCAUUAACUUGGUGUCAUGGGAAAUCAGGACUGUUACUUUGAAAAAAUUAGAGUGUUUAAAGCAGGCUCACGCUUGAAUACAUUAGCAUGGAAUAAUGAAAUAGGACGUUCGAUCCUAUUUUGUUGGUUUCUAGGAUCAACGUAAUGAUUAAUAGGGAUAGUUGGGGGCAUUAGUAUUCAAUUGUCAGAGGUGAAAUUCUUGGAUUUAUUGAAGACUAACUACUGCGAAAGCAUUUGCCAAGGAUGUUUUCAUUAAUCAAGAACGAAAGUUAGGGGAUCGAAGACGAUCAGAUACCGUCGUAGUCUUAACCAUAAACUAUGCCGACUAGGGAUCGGAUGAUGUUAAUUUUUAAUGACUCAUUCGGCGCCUUAAC
rnacentral:rRNA from 1 species